UAAGAGCGAAUGGUGGAUGCCUUGACUGGUAAAGGCGAUGAAGGACGUACUAGACUGCGAUAAGCUACGGGGAGCUGUCAAGAAGCUUUGAUCCGUAGAUUUCCGAAUGGGGCAACCCAAUGUAUAGAGAUAUACAUUACCUAUAUAGGAGCGAACGAGGGGAAUUGAAACAUCUUAGUACCCUCAGGAAAAGAAAUCAAUAGAGAUUGCGUCAGUAGCGGCGAGCGAAAGCGCAAGAGGGCAAACCCAGUGCUUGCACUGGGGGUUGUAGGACUGCAAUGUGCAAGAGGUAAGUUUAGCAGAACAUUCUGGAAAGUAUAACCAUAGAGGGUGAUAGUCCCGUAUGCGAAAAACAAACCUUAGCUAGCAGUAUCCUGAGUAGGGCGGGACACGAGGAAUCCUGUCUGAAUCCGGGUCGACCACGAUCCAACCCUAAAUACUAAUACCAGAUCGAUAGUGCACAAGUACCGUGAGGGAAAGGUGAAAAGAACUGAGGUGAUCAGAGUGAAAUAGAACCUGAAACCAUUUGCUUACAAUCAUUCAGAGCCCUAUGUAGCAAUACAGGGUGAUGGACUGCCUUUUGCAUAAUGAGCCUGCGAGUUGUGGUGUCUGGCAAGGUUAAGCAAACGCGAAGCCGUAGCGAAAGCGAGUCUGAAUAGGGCGCUUAGUCAGAUGCUGCAGACCCGAAACGAAGUGAUCUAUCCAUGAGCAAGUUGAAGCUAGUGUAAGAACUAGUGGAGGACUGAACCCAUAGGCGUUGAAAAGCCCCGGGAUGACUUGUGGAUAGGGGUGAAAGGCCAAUCAAACUUCGUGAUAGCUGGUUCUCUCCGAAAUAUAUUUAGGUAUAGCGUUGUGUCGUAAUAUAAGGGGGUAGAG
rnacentral:rRNA from 1 species